CUGUGUGAAGGUGAUGUGUGUGGGUGUUGUGUGCUGUGUGAGGGUGCUGUGUGUGUGCGAGGGUGCUGUUUCUGUGCUGUGUGUGGGUAUUGUGUGUUUGUGAGGGUACUGUUAUUGUGCUGUGUGUGUGAGUAUGCUAUUUGUGUGUUUGUGAGGGUGCUGUUAGUGUGCUGUGUGUGAGGAUGCUGUGUGUUUGUGAGGGUGCUGUUAGUGUACUGUAUGUGUGAG